rnacentral:rRNA from 1 species
UACGGAGGGCGCGAGCGUUAAUCGGAAUUACUGGGCGUAAAGCGCGCGUAGGCUGUUGUGUAAGUUGGGGGUGAAAUCCCACGGCUCAACCGUGGAGCAGCCCUUGAUACUGCGCGACUUGAAUCCGGGAGAGGGUGGCGGAAUUCCAGGUGUAGGAGUGAAAUCCGUAGAUAUCUGGAGGAACAUCAGUGGCGAAGGCGGCCACCUGGACCGGUAUUGACGCUGAGGCGCGAAAGCGUGGGGAGCAAACAGG